rnacentral:rRNA from 1 species
ACGAACGCUGGCGGCACGCCUAACACAUGCAAGUCGAACGGAGAUUGAGAGCUUGCUCUUAAAUCUUAGUGGCGGACGGGUGAGUAACACGUGAGCAACCUGCCUCUGAGAGAGGGAUAGCUUCUGGAAACGGAUGGUAAUACCUCAUAACAUUACAUGACCGCAUGAUCGUGUAAUCAAAGAUUUAUCACUCAGAGAUGGGCUCGCGUCUGAUUAGCUAGUUGGUGAGGUAACGGCCCACCAAGGCGACGAUCAGUAGCCGGACUGAGAGGUUGAACGGCCACAUUGGGACUGAGACACGGCCCAGACUCCUACGGGAGGCAGCAGUGAGGGAUAUUGCACAAUGGAGGAAACUCUGAAUGCAGCGAUGCCGCGUGGAGGAAGAAGGUUUUCGGAUUGUAAACUCCUGUUUCGAGGGACGAUAAUGACGGUACCUCGGGAGGAAGCUCCGGCUAACUACGUGCCAGCCGCAGC